GUGAGGAAUUUUCCGCAAUGGGCGAAAGCCUGACGGAGCAAUGCCGCGUGAAGGAUGAAGGCCUAUGGGUUGUAAACUUCUUUUCUCAGAAAAGAAUUAUGACGGUAUCUGAGGAAUAAGCAUCGGCUAACUCUGUGCCAGCAGCCGCGGUAAGACAGAGGAUGCAAGCGUUAUCCGGAAUGAUUGGGCGUAAAGCGUCUGUAGGUUGUUUAAAAAGUAUUCUGUCAAAGAUUAGGGCUUAACCCUAGAUAGGCAGAAUAAACUUUUAAGCUAGAGUUUGGUAGAGGCAGAGGGAAUUCCCGGGGGAGCGGUGAAAUGCGUAGAUAUCGGGAGGAACACCAAAGGCGAAGGCACUCUGCUGGGCCAAUACUAACACUGAGAGACGAAAGCGAGGGGAGCAAAUGGGAUUAGAAACCCUUGUAGUCC
rnacentral:rRNA from 1 species